AGCCACCGCGGUAAUUCCAGCUCCAAUAGCGUAUAUUAAAGUUGUUGCAGUUAAAAAGCUCGUAGUUGAAUUUCGGGGUUAGUAGGUUGGUCAUGCCUCUGGUAUGUACUGGUCUCACUGAUUCCUCCUUCCUGAUGAGCCGUAAUGCCAUUAAUUUGGUGUGGUGGGGAAUCAGGACUGUUACUUUGAAAAAAUUAGAGUGUUUAAAGCAGGCUCGCGCUUGAAUACAUUAGCAUGGAAUAAUGAAAUAGGACGUUGACCCUAUUUUGUUGGUUUCUAGGAUUGACGUAAUGAUUAAUAGGGAUAGUUGGGGGCAUUAGUAUUCAAUUGUCAGAGGUGAAAUUCUUGGAUUUAUUGAAGACUAACUACUGCGAAAGCAUUUGCCAAGGAUGUUUUCAUUAAUCAAGAACGAAAGUUAGGGGAUCGAAGACGAUCAGAUACCGUACGUAGUUUAACCAUAAACUAUGCCGACUAGGGAUCGGAUGAUGUUAAUUUUUUAAUGACUCA
rnacentral:rRNA from 1 species